GGGUUUGAGCUGGGGCAGAGAGGGAGCCGGGCAGUUCUCAGGAAUGGCGAGUCUUAGGGACAGUGUAGGUGGGCAUGGCUGUAGGAUGGCAUGUGUCUAGGAGAGAUGAGGGGAGGACGGGGACCAGACCAUUAAAAGUCUAAGCACAGUGCAAGAGAAUGUAUUUCAGUAGCGUGAGGCUGUGUGAGUGGUGACAGGGGUGAGAGGAUCCUGGGGGCCUAGCAGAGGGCUCAGAGCACAGGGAAGGGCCGGGAGCUGUGCGGCUGGAAACACAGGUGGCAGUGGUGGUGAUGUGGGCCAUUGAGGAGAGCUGGGGAUCUAGGAUGGCUUUGGGCUUUGGGACAGGGGAUAACACCAACUGCAAAAGGCAUAUAAGUAAAAGAAGAGGAAUGGGAGGAACACUGGUUUUGAGCUGGCUCUCAUAACUUUGAAAUGCUCUGAGACCUCUAAGUAAAGAGGUCUCCAUGGCAAGUCAGGAAGAGAUGGAGCUCCAAAAUCUGGUCCCUGCUAGAAAUCCAGAUGAGGGACAGGUGUUGCUGGUGAGAGCUGGGACAUGGAUUAGGUCAUGACGGUAUGAGACUGUACGAUAAGAAGGGAUUUCUUUUCUUACUGAUCUGCCAGAGCUCUUUGUGUGUUAGAGAUAAUAGCUGUGCUUUGAUACUCAUGAGGUACUUCCCAAAGUCUUGCCUAUUUGCAGGUGUUUUGAUUUCGUAUUCACCCAUGAUUGUUUCUUCAGAGUCUGGAGCACAGUGUAUAUUUUUGGCAAGAAUAUGGCAUUGGCCGUGCUAUAUCCUUGGUGUGUCCGAUCAGGAACACAUACCGCCAGUUUGUCCUGAUGUGGGUGAUGCUAAAAUUUGAUGAACUGCUUACUGUGAGAAUCACCACAUUUCUCCAUUUUAAAGGCAGAUAUUUCCCCUCUGUAAUUAAGAAGUAAUCUGCAAGGUGAUACUUAGAGAUUGUAUAAAUAUCCUGUCUCCCCACCAAUUUUUGCCCUUGAUAAUCCUUUUCUGAAUCAUUUAUUUUACACUUAUUAUCUGAUAUUUUUCUAUAAAGAAGAGCUUUCCUUUAGCCCCACCCUUUUUUUCAGUACCAUUACUCAUUUUUUAAAAAUGUUGUGUGUUCUACUUCAAUAACACCUUCGUUCUUUUCAGUGCUGAAGUUAUCCCAAACCUAGCCAGUGGGUAACCCUGAAGAUGGCUCCAGUGUCUUUUUGUCAUGUUUCUGUCAGUUUUGAGUAUUUUCUUGAUUUAUGGCACACCAAAGUGUUCCACAUUCUCCCUGGACUUUCCCAGUCCCCAUCUGCAACCAGCUGUAUCUUCAAGGAAUGAUAGCUCUUUUUUAGUGGGGAAUGGUGUUUAGAAACCAAAAUCUGGCCUCUAGCUGUGCUCAUUUGCACUAAAUGUUAUUGCUUUUAGGCAUUUCAGUGAGCAGAGUUAGAAAAAAAAUUUUAAAAAUAAGGAUACCUCCAAUCCAAAUACAACACCAUAGUCUUCCUCCUCUUCACCCUCUAUAUGCUUCUCCCCAUUCUUUGUCAGCAAGAAACCUGGUUUGCUGCAAACACAAUGCAUUUACUCAUUUUCCUGUCCUGUGACAGAUGUGCACAAAAUGGUGAUACUAAAGGAUAAUUUUCAAAAGCUUAAAACUUGACUGUUAGGUGGAUAGAAAGUGAAAAGUCAUUAAUUAGUGAUGGGCUAGUAAUUAGUUAAGGCCAGUUCAAAGGAAAUUUGAAGAACAGGCACAUAGAGGCAGUCACAAAUGCUGAAAUACAUCUGCUAAUAGAUGCAAAACUGGUUAAUAUCCUAUAAAGCAAUAUAAUAUAAUGUUGUGGGUUAUCUUUUCUAUAAGGUGAUGUUAUAGACUGAAUGUUUAUGUCCCCCCUGUCAAAUUCAUAUGUUGAAACGCCAACCCCCAAUAUGAUGCAUUAGAAGUAAUUAAGUUUAGAUGAGGUCAUGAGAGUAGGGCCACCAUGAUGGGAUUAGUGUCCUUAUAAGAAGAGGAAAAGACAGCUGCUCUUUCCCCACCAUGUGAGGACACAGUGAGAAGACAGCUGCCUGUAAACCAGGAGGAGGAGCCUCAUCAGCAAAGGAAUCUGUUGGUGCCUUGUUCUUCGACUUCACAGUCUCCAGAACUGUGAGAAAUACAUGUCUGUUGUUUAAGCCAUCCAGUCUAUGGUAUUUUGUUAUAGCAGCCUGAGCUAUAACAGGAAGUAAAUUAUAUCUCUACCAGAUACAGUGCCAUUGCCUUGCUGUAGACAAUCAGUUUUACAGCUUAACUUCUAUGUCCGUAGAGUUGUGGAGCCGCCUAGGAAGUAAGUACUCCCAGAGGGUCCCCUGGACAGCACCCAGCACCCAGACCCAGCACCCAGCACCCAGCACCAGCACUUUCCUGGAGGGAAAAGAGACCCAGUCACCUCAUUAGCUCAGUUUCCAGCUAUGGAUAGUUUGUUUGUUUGUUUAUUUAUUUAUUUAUUUUACCAAAGAGUCAGAAAUUAGAAUACCACCACUGCUACCAACAUCAGACCUGCUAAGUAAAAGCCCGUUAUUUCUUUGUGAUUGUUUUCUUCCAAUAUAUUCCACCAAAAGUUAUUUGGUCUUAUACACCAUAUUCAAAAACGCAGUUCAAUUUUUUUUAACUUCAUGCCGUCUCUCCAGAUUUCAAAUUGCUUCCCUUUCCACAAAUGCUUAUGUUUUUCACUGAAUCAGUGACCUAUUGAAUUUUUCUAAGAAUAUGGAUUGUUAAAAUUUGAAAAAUUUUCUUUUGCUUCUUGCAAUAAACCAAUUUCAUUUUUAAAAUGGUUUCCUAGGCACGAGACAACCGGGGAGCAAUCAAUCUAUUGCAGAUGAAGGUGCUGCCCUGAUCCUGUAGCCCAGCCGCCUUCUUUUUGAAUCUCACUGUCUUUACACUGAUCCAGGGUUUUUUGUUGUUGUUGUUUUUUUUUUUUUCUGGCUUGCUCAUCCUUCUGCUGGGACUGCGCUCAUCCUCCGGUUUAUUUUAAGUCAAGGAUGACACAGGUCCUCUUGGAGAUUGGAGGGCGCUCUGGCAAAGAGAGGAGGAAAAGGCUCCAGCUGCUUUCCAGGCUCCGCGCCCAGCAGCCUGGGGCAUGGCGGGAAGAAUUCGGGACCAGGUGCAGGCCCCAUAGCCACUCCCCUCCUGCGCUGUGUAGUUUUACUUCCGAGUUGAGUGUGGCAGGGGAGGCUGUAACAACCAAGGAGGAGCCCCUGCUCUUUGCCUGGUGGCACCUUAGGGGGAAGGUGGCAUCCGGAGCUUAGUGCCCUGCCUGGCCUCGUGCCUGGGGUGUUGCAAGAUGUCAUCGGUGGGUCUCAAAGCAUCCCCAUAGGCCACCUCUCCUUUUCUGCCCUUCUAUCUGUGGGGCAUUGCCGGAGUUUUGCAGGGUUCACUGAAUUAGGUGUAAUACCUCAUCCUCCCCAUCAACAGGGGCCUGUCUCUGCCAUCUUACUUAAGAAACAGAAAUAGGGUGGUGGUCCUUGAUGGUUCUAGUCCACUCCUGGCUUCUCUCUGUUGCCUUUGGUCACGGAUGGUGUCUUCAGCUGCCCAGGCUGCGAUAAGGAAAUAAGGAGCUCUCCAGGGCCUCUUUUGUGAGGUCACUAAUCCCACCACGAGGACCCCCUCCCUCAGGACCUAAUCACCUCCCAAAGCCACCUGCUGUAGCAUCGACCUGGGUACAGGAUUUUCGCACAGCAAUUUCGGAGGACAGAAACAUGCAGACUGUGGCAGGUGGGAAGCUGGGUAGGGGCGAAGAUUCCCGUGUUCUCAGCUCUCCUGGGAGCUGGCCUACCAGGGGGCCCAGGCUGCCAGACAGAGCUGGAGUCCAAGUCAAGUAGCAGGAUUGGAUGGCCAGGGUGUGGACCAGGGUCCGGGCUGUCCUGAGGGCAGCGUCACAGCUGGCAACCUGCCUGGGUGGACAGGAGGAGGCGAGCAGAGGCCUCAGCCGUUAUCCUGCUUCCUCCACUUGGCCUGGCUGAUGUUCUUGGAGUCUGAUUUUAAAAUACAAUACAGAGUGUUUGGGAGGAAAAAACCCCACAUGAACAAGGAACUUCUGGGUGAAUAUCUCCUGCACCUCACUCUCAGCCCUCCUCCAGUUCUGCUCUCUGGAGUUAACUGUUGUUAAUGAUUUGAUGCCUAGAUGGGUUUACUCUGCCUUUUACAUUUAAAUAAA
ensembl:lncRNA